CCAGCAGCUGCGGUAAUUCUUGCUCCAGUAGCGUAUGUUAACAUUGUUGCUGUUAAAAAGCUCGUAGUUGGAUUUCUGGUGGGGUCACUCUCGCCCGCGCUCGGCGGACCUUCGGGUCCCCUUGACGCGGCGGGAUCUCUUGUACCCCCCUUUCUCGCGUUCGCGCCGUCCCCCUUCGCUGGGGGGCGGACGGGCGCGUCUUUCACUGAGAGUAAAUCAGAGCGUUCAAAGCGGGCAGUUUGCUUGAAUGCUUGAGCUUGGAAUGAUGAGAUGGGCAUCUUGGUCUAUUUCGUUGGUUUGCGGCCUCGAUGUAGGUUUAACAGGAACAGUUGGAGGUAUUCGUAUUGUGGCGUCAGGGGUGAAAUCCUAGGAUCGCCGUAAGACGAACGACUGCGAAAGCAUUUACCGAGGAUGUUUUCAUUAAUCAAGAACGAAAGU
rnacentral:rRNA from 1 species